UGCCUCAGCCUCCCAAGCAGCUGGGACUACAGGCGCCCGCCACCACGCCCAGCUAAUUUUUGUAUUUUUAGGACCUUUUGUAUUUUAGAACCUUGAAAACGUUAUGUUAAGUGAAAUAAGCCAGACAUAAAAGGACAAAUACUGUAUGAUUCCAGUUAUAUGAGGUACCCAGAUUAGGCAGAUUCACAGGGAUGGAAAGUAAAAUAGAGGUUGCCAGGGGCUGGGGUACAGAGGAAACGGGAAGUUACUGCUUGAUGGGCACAGAGUUUCUGUUUGGGAUGAAGAGAAAGCUCUGGAAAUAGUGGAAGGUCCACAGAUGAUGCUCCUUCUCACGGAUGCGAGGCCAUCAAAUCACUUUUUGUCUCCGCUGCUCUCUCUCCAUCGUGGAUAACCAUCAUGGUUUCUCAGGAGGGAAAGGACACAACUGGGCUCAGCUCUGCUUCACACCAGGAGUAUCAAGUCCAAAAUGAAGCUCUUCAAACCAUCUGGGAAGAGAAAACAGCAUGAUAAGGAAAGGUGUAUUUGUCUGAUCCCAGGAAUCAAUAUAAACAUCAAUGAUAACCCCACCUAUUUUUUUAAAUGUAUGAUUUGGAUGAAACAAGAGAAAGAAAAUGAUUGUUGCUGAGUCCCUGCUGCAGUCCUGACACAGCUCUCCUUAUUUUGUUGAUGCUCAUGAGGACCCUGAUGUCUGAGGAAGAAGGUUCCCGUCCAGCUCUGCCCCUGGUGUGUCACAUGCUGGCCUUGUCAACGCACAUGAGAACCUGACAGGGAUGCUGGGGGAAGCACGGGUGCUUCUGCUGUGACUGAUGUGGCAACCGUACCAGAGGUGCCUCCUCCGCCCGCCACACCCCACAGACCUGAGAGGCCUUGACUGGAGCAGGCCCUGCCCAUACCUUGGUUUUGGACUUCAUGCCUCCAGAGCUG